rnacentral:rRNA from 1 species
AUUGAACGCUGGCGGCAUGCUUUACACAUGCCAGUCGAACGGCAGCGCGGGCUUCGGCCUGGCGGCGAGUGGCGAACGGGUGAGUAAUGCAUCGGAACGUGCCCAGUAGUGGGGGAUAGCCCGGCGAAAGCCGGAUUAAUACCGCAUACGACCUGAGGGUGAAAGCGGGGGACCGAAAGGCCUCGCGCUAUUGGAGCGGCCGAUGUCGGAUUAGCUAGUUGGUGGGGUAGAGGCUUACCAAGGCGACGAUCCGUAGCUGGUCUGAGAGGACGACCAGCCACACUGGGACUGAGACACGGCCCAGACUCCUACGGGAGGCAGCAGUGGGGAAUUUUGGACAAUGGGGGCAACCCUGAUCCAGCCAUGCCGCGUGCGGGAAGAAGGCCUUCGGGUUGUAAACCGCUUUUGUUCGGGAAGAAAUCCUCUGGGCUAAUACCCCGGGGGGAUGACGGUACCGGAAGAAUAAGCACCGGCUAACUACGUG